CGUGUAGCUGCUGCCGCGGCUGCUUCCUCAGUUGCACGAGCUCCAUCCCUUAGGAGGCUAACUGGGCAAAAGGCAGCAGGGGGACCUCAAAAUAGGCCAGCUUCAUCCAGGGUCCUGAAGAAACCUAGUGAAGGGGAUACGAAUACAGUGAGAACCCAGGGCGAGUCAGAUGCUGCACCGAAGAACCAGGGAACUCUUCAGGAACCUCUUCUAGGAAACAAGAAAUAG
rnacentral:misc_RNA from 1 species